UUGAUUCCAUUCAAAAAUAUACACAUUGCUGUAUAAAUACAUGCCCAACUCUCUAAAAAGUAUAAUUGUGUAAUUUUCAACUAAUGUGUCUCAUUAAAAACAUGCAUUUUGAACAUUUAGCAGCAGACCACUCACACACUCACACACACACACACAAAGUAAAUCCCUGUUGACAGGAAGUGAACGUGGGCCUGUGUUUAGUGUCCAGACGUUGGCAGAUUGUGACCUUAUCAAUGUGAAACUUUUAAAGAUAAAUUAUUCAUAGCACCUGUUUAUUAAUGUGUCCGGCCAAAGAAUGACGAAGGUGCAAGAUUCAAGGCGCGACUCAAAGCUGCGAGCGAGCGUCAGCAUCAGCCCCGAGGCUGCUGUGCUACUUUGUGUGUCUCCUUUAUUCAGAGCUGAAUAUGAAAAAAUAAAAUAAAAUGAACCACGUGUCUCCUGACAGGAGGUGAAGAGGAGAGAGGAAAAGACAACAACACAGAAAGCACAGAGUGACAUGGACAUGGACGUGGAGGCGAGACGGUCAGAGAGACAGUGGGACGUGUCGUUGGUGCGACGCAAGGACCGAGACUGGGAUAAGAUGUAAAUUAUGGAGAGUGAUGUUUGGCGCCGAGUGUUAAGAUCACGUUGCCUGACAAUCAAAGCACUUAAAACUGUAGUGUUUAACUUAUUGAUAUGUACAAAUGUCAGUUACAUUUGAACCAUUGCUGCUAUACACACACAAACGCCCCCUCAGACAGGUCUGAUAGUUUUGCUUGACAGGCCCUGUUUUCAGGUGAAAAUCCAGAGCUGACCCAAGCCUUCGUGGGGCCCUAAGCAAAAUUAGAUUUUGGGGCCCUUUAUCCACGUAAAUGAUAUUCACAGGAUUCACCAGCUUGUCAAACACUUCUCAGUACUGUGACUCCUAAACGGUUGAAUAGCUGCCAGAAAUCGAAAGUGAAAGUUAUCUUGGAAAAAGGGAGCAGAAACUCACGCAAUUCUACAGCCAUAAAAUCGAAAUAAAUUAGGAUUAACCGUAUAUUGUCUUUCAUAGGAAUCUCAAAACAAUGGUCUUGUGUUGGUUUUUCACGUAGUGAAGGUUUCCACAAGUAUUCAAAAUGGCAGAGGUGAAUAGGGCGUUGGUCAACAAAAUGAAACAAUAACGAUGAAUAGAACAUGGUAUAACAUUAUCUUGCUUAUUGUGUUUUUGUCUUGGCUUGGGUAAUGUUUGUGAAUGUCACCAUAAACAAACAAAAAAAUAAUGUGUUAAAAAAAAUGAAAAAUAAAUACCGCAAUGAAUUGCUCUAUGGGGGGGCCCCCUGGUGGCCACUGGCCCCUGUUUGCUUAAGCCUUGGUGAAAGACGCAAUGUACAAAUAGUGUUACAUGAUUACGGUUCAUGGAAAACAAAAAAAAAACAGAAUAAUAUCAUCAACAACAAAAGUUAUGCAGAUAAAGAAGCUGGAAAUGAUCAGAAUGCCAGUGCUUAGUUGUUGCUCAGUAUUAUUGCAGUAGAUCAACUGACUGUUGUUUAUCAUGUUCACAAGAAGUUCAAAGAAUGUCCUCACUUAAAUUUAAUAGUGCAUUUAACCCAAUUUAUACCAUUCGUUUUGUUAUUUGACUUGAUUCUAUUGCAGUUUUCACUGUUUUUCCUUCUCCUACAUGCUUGUUUUAUUUAAUAAUACAAACUAGUUUGUUCCAAGUUUCAGAGCCGGGCUUCCCAGCAUGCUCUGAGGCAGGGUGUUGAAGUCAAAAUUGUGUUCUAAAUCAUCACAGAUGUCGCUUUGUACUCGGUUAUUGUUGCUCUUAUGUUAUGUGCACAUUUAGUUCACCGUUCCGCCGGCGGUGCGUGUCGGACUGAAGCUCCAAUUGUCACUUUUAACUUGCUAAAACAUAGAUAAUGUUUUUCACUGACCUAAAAGUUUAAGACUUUCUCUUAACUUGCAUAUGAAGACACAUGAAAUGACCAAGUAGUAUAUAAACAACAAGCUACUUUCUAACACCAACAGUUAACUAGGUAAUAAACUAACUCAACGCAGAGACAAAUCCAGGCUUCCUGGAACUCAAAUUCGUUUUGGAUCCCUUUUUUUUUUUUCUGUCUUUCUUUGAAAAUGAUCACAGAGCGCUUUUCGGGAAACUGGCAGCUUAUUCUUUCACAGCUGGAGGUCAAUAUAACACUCAGCAUUAAUAAAACAAAUAUGACUGGGAUGGAUAUUCACGAUGAUCUAUACAGAUGUACCGGGCAUGAGCGUGAAUCAUGUGUGUGAGAUAGUGCUGAAGGAGAGCAAAGGGGAGACACUCGCACGUCUCGUCUGUUUACUCGUCUCUGUGUUUGUGUGUGUGUGCGAUAGCCCAGUCAGUUUCCCUCAGAUGUUCCUUUUGACCUCUGACCCCAGAGUUGGGGUCAAGCCCUGACAAAUGAGAUGGUCGAGUUCUGGCCAGAACAGCAAACAUUCCACAACAAUCUUCUGUCCUCCUCCCCUCCCUUCAUAUCCGUCAUUCCUCACCCCUUCACUCCUCUCACUCUGUCUGGUCCACAAGUUGCCAGAGGAAGUUCUCAUUUCUUUUCAUUUUUUUGUUUUUGUUUUUAUUGUACGUGUUCAUUGCGGGCCUUAGCUUUUACAAUACUGGUUAAAAGCAAAAAAAACAACAAAAAAAACAAAAGAAAACAACAACCCUGACCUGCAUGUGGCUUAUUUACAGGACAGAAAACAACAGAGUACAUCUUAGAGGAGAGGUUGUGUUGGGAUUACAGGCUUGUAGUUGUGUGUGUGUGUGUGUGUGUGGAACGCUUGUCAGUGAUGUCAAAGAUGAGAAAUGUUGCAGUGUGGUUUUUUACACAUGCUGCUGGCUCUAGCAUUUCCGGCAACAUUUCUCACUCGGCCUCCCUCACACCAUCCACUCUUCUGCCAUAUCCCCACAUUUUUCCAUCCUUUCACUUCUUCCCCUAACCUCCCUCCCUCCCUCCCUUCCUCCCUCGCUCGCCUCAUCUCUGCUCCUUUUACCCUGCCCCACCCAAGCCAAUCGCAACCUCUCCCUCCACCUCCUCUCCCCCCCCACACCUUUUUCCCAUCCACUCACUAUUUUCUCAGAUUUUCUAACAUGCCAUUCCACAGAAUACCUACCACCUGUGUCUCUAGGGGGGGAAAAAGGGAGCUCUUGUUAUUCCUCUUCAAGAAACUGGUUAAGGUAAGUGGCACCAGCUAUUACAAUGGUUCUGGUUGUUGUGUUUCUGCAUUAACUUUUUUUCUCACGCACUGACCUCGGCUUCGCAAGCAUCACCACCCUCCAUCAGAGCUUUAGCUACAAGUCACUGCUGUAAACACACACACACACACACACACACAGAGUCACUACCAAUGAAUGUCAGCACCGCAGCCAUGGUGCCACGACGGAGCCUGGAGACCAACAAAGCCGGCUGAUACUGUAACGGCGAGUGGAUGGUGCUCUUGAACUUGCUUUCAUAAUGAUGUAAUAUGACUAAAAGGCAAUGCAACUCAGCAGAGAUCUUAAUAAAAACAUGUCAGUCUCGA